rnacentral:rRNA from 1 species
UACGUAGGGUGCAAGCGUUGUCCGGAAUUAUUGGGCGUAAAGAGCUCGUAGGCGGUUUGUUGCGUCGGCUGUGAAAUCCCGAGGCUCAACCUCGGGUCUGCAGUCGAUACGAGCAAACUAGAGUGUUGCAGGGGAGACUGGAAUUCCUGGUGUAGCGGUGAAAUGCGCAGAUAUCAGGAGGAACACCGGUGGCGAAGGCGGCGAUCUGGGGUAGAUACUGACGCUGAGGU